ACUAGGCUUCUGUAGCUUGUGACU
rnacentral:miRNA from 1 species